rnacentral:rRNA from 1 species
CCUACGGGUGGCAGCAGUGGGGAAUAUUGCACAAUGGGGGAAACCCUGAUCCAGCGACGCCGCGUGAAGGAAGAAGUAUUUCGGUAUGUAAACUUCUAUCAGCAGGGAAGAAAGUGACGGUACCUGACUAAGAAGCCACGGCUAACUACGUGCCAGCAGCCGCGGUAAUACGUAGGGGGCAAGCGUUAUCCGGAUUUACUGGGUGUAAAGGGAGCGUAGGCGGCGUGGCAAGCCAGAAGUGAAAGCCCGUGGCUCAACCACGGGACUGCUUUGGAAACUGUCUGGCUAGAUUGCAGGAGAGGUAUGUGGAAUUCGUGGUGUAGCGGUGAAAUGCUUAGAUAUCAGGAGGAACUCCAGUGGCGAAGGCGGCUUGCUGGAGUGUAAAUGACGCUGAGGCUCGAAAGCGUGGGUAGCAAACAGGAUUAGAUACCCCUGUAGUC